GGCUCGGUAGCGGAUGGUCUGCAUCUGCUCUCCAUCACAAGUGUGUGAGCAAAUAAUGCAGAUAAAGCCUGUUCGACUCAGGCCUGAGCCA